ACGGGGAGAAGGAGCAACAGGGAUUGCCCCAGUAACGGCGAGUGAAGCGGCAACAGCUCAAAUUUGAAAUCUGGCCUCCGGGUCCGAGUUGUAAUUUGUAGAGGAUGCUUUUGGCGAGGUGCCUUCCGAGUUCCCUGGAACGGGACGCCAUAGAGGGUGAGAGCCCCGUCUGGUCGGACACCGAGCCUCUGUAAAGCUCCUUCGACGAGUCGAGUAGUUUGGGAAUGCUGCUCAAAAUGGGAGGUAUAUGUCUUCUAAAGCUAAAUAUUGGCCAGAGACCGAUAGCGCACAAGUAGAGUGAUCGAAAGAUGAAAAGCACUUUGAAAAGAGGGUUAAAAAGUACGUGAAAUUGUUGAAAGGGAAGCGCCUAUGACCAGACUUGGGCCCGGUGAAUCAUCCAGCGUUCUCGCUGGUGCACUUUGCCGGGCACAGGCCAGCAUCAGUUUGGCGCGGGGGAAAAAGGUUUUGGGAAUGUGGCUCCCUCGGGAGUGUUAUAGCCCAUUGCGUAAUACCCUGCGCCGGACUGAGGUACGCGCAUCGCAAGGAUGCUGGCGUAAUGGUCAUCAGCGACCCGUCUUGAAACACGGACCAAGGAGUCGUCUUCGUAUGCGAGUGUUCGGGUGUCAAACCCCUACGCGUAAUGAAAGUGAACGCAGGUGAGAGCUUCGGCGCAUCAUCGACCGAUCCUGAUGUUCUCGGAUGGAUUUGAGUAAGAGCAUACGGGGCCGGACCCGAAAGAAGGUGAACUAUGCCUGUAUAGGGUGAAGCCAGAGGAAACUCUGGUGGAGGCUCGCAGCGGUUCUGACGUGCGAAUCGAUCGUCAAAUAUGGGCAUGGGGGCGAGAAGACUAAUCGAACCUUCUAGUAGCUGGUUUCCGCCGAAGGUUCCCCUCCAGGAAAGG
rnacentral:rRNA from 1 species